GAACAGAGCGUUGGAAGGUAGGGGAAAUAAGAGUUGGUUGACACUCAAGCACCACUUCCUCCAACCUCAGUAUCA
ensembl:miRNA gga-mir-7437 gga-mir-7437